GAGACCCACGCCAACAGUUGCCAGCAUGUCCUCCGGGAUGGUGGGGACACUGUUGGGACCGCCUCUGCUAAAGAGGAGGAAGGAAUGGGCAACGGUAGGUCAGCAUGCCCCGAAUUAUCCGGGCUACACGCGGGCUACAAUGGACAGGACAAUGGGAAUCGACACCGAGAGGUGAAGGCAAUCCCCUAAACCUGCCCUUAGUUCGGAUUGUGGGCUGCAACUCGCCCACAUGAAGCUGGAAUCCGUAGUAAUCGCGUCUCAAAAUGGCGCGGUGAAUAU
rnacentral:rRNA from 1 species